rnacentral:rRNA from 1 species
GCGGCGAGCGAAGCGGGAAGAGCUCAAAUUUAUAAUCUGGCACCUUCGGUGUCCGAGUUGUAAUCUCUAGAAAUGUUUUCCGCGUUGGACCGCACACAAGUCUGUUGGAAUACAGCGGCAUAGUGGUGAGACCCCCGUAUAUGGUGCGGACGCCCAGCGCUUUGUGAUACAUUUUCGAAGAGUCGAGUUGUUUGGGAAUGCAGCUCAAAUUGGGUGGUAAAUUCCAUCUAAAGCUAAAUAUUGGCGAGAGACCGAUAGCGAACAAGUACCGUGAGGGAAAGAUGAAAAGCACUUUGGAAAGAGAGUUAACAGUACGUGAAAUUGUUGGAAGGGAAACGCUUGAAGUCAGACUUGCUUGCCGAGCAAUCGGUUUGCAGGCCAGCAUCAGUUUUCCGGGAUGGAUAAUGGUAGAGAGAAGGUAGCAGUUUCGGCUGUGUUAUAGCUCUCUGCUGGAUACAUCUUGGGGGACUGAGGAACGCAGUGUGCCUUUGGCGGGGGUUUCGACCUCUUCACACUUAGGAUGCUGGUGGAAUGGCUUUAAACGACCCGUCUUGA